rnacentral:rRNA from 1 species
UGUUUCUCGGGUGGCGAGCGGCGGACGGGUGAGUAAUGCCUGGGAAAUUGCCCUGAUGUGGGGGAUAACCAUUGGAAACGAUGGCUAAUACCGCAUGAUGCCUACCGGCCAAAGAGGGGGACCUUCGGGCCUCUCGCGUCAGGAUAUGCCCAGGUGGGAUUAGCUAGUUGGUGAGGUAAGGGCUCACCAAGGCGACGAUCCCUAGCUGGUCUGAGAGGAUGA